UACAGAGGGUGCAAGCGUUAUUCGGAAUUACUGGGCGUAAAGGGUGCGUAGGUGGCUACGUAAGUUGGAUGUGAAAUACUCGGGCUUAACCUGGGGGCUGCAUUCAAAACUGCGUGGCUAGAGUACGGUAGAGGGAAGUGGAAUUUCCGGUGUAGCGGUGAAAUGCGUAGAUAUCGGAAGGAACAUCAGUGGCGAAGGCGGCUGCCUGGACCUAUACUGACACUGAGGCGCGAAAGCGUGGGGAGCAAACAGG
rnacentral:rRNA from 1 species